CCAUUAAAAUCUUCUCUCCCGCCUCCACAGGGGCCUUGAGUGACCCUGCAAGAGAGGGAGCGUUGCUGAUUAACGAUGCUUUCUGCAAGGUCUCUGGUGGGAUGGAGGCAGAGGAACCGGGCUGGAGCACAUCCGGAGAGCUGGUGGUGUGAGAGCAUUGGUGCCCAAGGUUCUGCAACUGAGCAGUUGUGAUGGCAGUAAGAGCAGCAGUACACUGACAUCAGUGCACCGCCGGCGCACAGAGAGACGCACAACUGUGAAAUGAGGCGUCUGCAGGCAGCGCCGUGCCUGGCUCUCCCCACAGCUUUAUCUGCAGGGCUGAUGGAGCUCAGCGUUGAUGAUGAUGCUCACAGGCAGCCUCAGCUGGCAGUACGAGGGCACUGUGCAAGAUAUGCUGAGGACAGCCAGAUGAGCAUCCCCAGACUGAGGAAGAGCUCUCAGAUCCUGAAAGAUUCCUGUGGAUCGAGGUCUGGUGAUGGCAGAAGAGGAAGUAAGGGCGUUACCUUCUGCAUGAUGGUCAGCUUAUGGGAUGGGCAUAUUUUGACCUACACUGCAAUGUUAAUGAGGUUGUGAUUCAACCCAGAGCCAUGUGGACGCCCUCCCAGCUGGCAUCCCCAGGCAGCACCGUGCUGCCCUUGGUGCCAAUUGCCUCCUGAACUCCAAGGAAUAUCUCCUGGCUCACAGCAGGGCAGGCUCCCACUCAGAGCUGCUGCACUUGGCAGGCUCACUGGCAGCAGCACUCACCUGUACCUAAGUGAGAACACGAGGCUCAGAUGCCUACUGGACCUGGUUGGUCCUGGCAGGAGACAGGAUGGACAGGAAUAUCAAGCCUUUGUCUGCAGGUAGGUGCACCGUGGUCACAGUGAUGGAGAGAGUGAGGGAAGGUGUGUACAGGUUGUAAAGUGUAUACUGGAGGUGUGUUGCACACUGAGAGGGCUGAUUCAGUUGCAUAAAUGCCACCAGCCUGCUGCUUUCACAGAGAUUGACUCCCAGAGGUGUUCUCUGGAGAGAGGGUGCACAGCACAGGGUGAUGGAGAUGCUGACCAACCCUUCCUGAGCUCAAGACUCUCUCCUUAUCCAGCAGUGAUGCAGAUGGAGUAGCAGCAACAGCAGCAAGGUUCUUCCUGAGCUGCGCUCCUGUUCAGCCUCUAAGGUCACAGUGGGCUGGGUCUGGGAGGCAGGGACCUGGCCAGGCACAUCCAGCUGUGGCAAAUGCAUCCCUGUGUGGUUCCCCAAGAAGGGCCAUGCAGGGUUUUAUCCCCAGCCCAGCCUGGGCUCAACAUGGAGAGUGGGGCUGGCAGGGCUGCACUCGGGAGGGAAUGGAGUAACCUGCAGUUGGAGAAACUGAGGCAGGGGUCUGAAAUGCCAUGUGCUCUUUGCAGAGUUCUUCUAGGGUGCAGCAGUGCCGUGAGCCCCCUAAGGGCUCUGAGUGCUUCAUGGAAAAGAAGUUCUUCUAAGGGCAAGAAUUUGUCACCGGGGGUCUUCAUGCCAGCACCGUGGCCUUCCCCUUUUCUCUGUGCACCCCAUGCUUCUGCUUGUGUGUUUAGCUCCUGCUUGGUCUGGUGUGGAGGUCCUUGUGGAUCAAGGGGAAGGCCUGUGAUAGUAAGACAGUGGGUCCAUCAAAUGCAAGUGGGUUCAUUUUGUCCAUGGAGAUGUGUUGUCUUUCCUUCAGGACCUACCAGUGGUCACCCCUGCUUGGUGCAGCACAGGAUCUCAGGAAUUUUCUGUAAAAGUUCUCUGCUAUCCUCAGCAUUAACAGCAGGGAGAUGCAAAGUGCUCUGGGAUUGCCAUGAAGUGCAGUGGAAGUGUGGAAGAUGAUGAAUCCCUGUCUCCAGGAGAGAGAUGGUAGAGCUGCUCAUUUACCUUUGUUUGGCAGCAAGCAGAUUGUAUGGGCACAGCCAUGCCGUGGUGAAGAACUGAAGGGCCCAGCAGUGCCUGCUGACAGCUCCAGCUCAACAGGGGGUGGGGGAUUUCCCUGCAGCAGCCCCAAACCAUGGAUCCAGAGCGGUGCUUGUGGUGUGAACUCCUGACUCAUGGAACGAACCUCUGCGGUGCAAUGGUGAGGGCUUGCCAAGAUAUCUCCUGCAACUCAUUACCCAAAGAAGAGAAGUACCACAUAUUUACUUCUCCCCUUCUGAUCUGUAAGAUGCCACUGCAGUGAUUACAUCUUUUUUUCCUGGUUUUUUUUUUUUUUUUUUUGCUCUGAAUGUGUGAAUGCACUCAAUUCAAGGUUAAGCUCUUCAUUAAGUCACACAAGUCCGACAAAGAGUUUAAAUCACCACGGAGAGCAAAACAGUCACCUGCCCUAGCCAAAAAACCUGAGGCUGUGCAGAUUCUUCUCCUAGUCCCUGCAGAGCAGCUCCCAAUGGUGCUGGGUUGCUCGCUGUGGGUCUGGUGGCAGUGUUGUGUCCUUGGAGCCCAGCUCAUGCUGCUCCUACUGCCAUUCCUUGUGAGUGCUGUGCAGAGGGCUGCGAAUGAGGGCUGCUGUGUGGUGUUCCAUCACAUCCACACAUCUUGGUGUCCCCACGGUGUGAGCGUGGCCGGUGUGACUUCGGGGCUCCUCCUGAGGCAGUGCUGGUCUAAAAACACUGAUGAAAAGCUGAUUAAUCCUUGUAAGCGAGCGGCGAUAGCUUCUCUCCAGAACUGAAGAGAUUACCACUGAUUUGUCAUCCUGAUUGUUUCAAAGAGAGGUGCAAUUAGUUGCUCUAAUUUAGCUCGCUGAGUGGCAUGACAACUGAGAUGUAAUCAGGAGCUCUGCACACAGCGCAGCCACCGAUGGGUGCAGCUGUGCCCACCACCAUUUUGCACACUGAGGGUGGGCUCAAAAUGGUGGAGCACUGUGUGCUCGUGCCCCUCCAGCUGCAUCAGCCAAAGUGUGUGCGCUCGACUCUGAGAUCAGCAGGGCUUUAAGCCACAGGGUGGCUGAGCACCCUAGGAGAUGCUGAGCACACCUUUGCCAGGUGCAAUAGAAUUAAUACUAGCUAUAGGAGAGGGUGCACUUUGUGCUUGAGGCCCCAUCUGAGACCAGUUGUUGGUUUGGAAGAGGAGCCAAGCUGCAAAGGGAAGCGUGGGGCACCCUGUGGGCUGGCACUCUACUCCAGGCAGAGGGGAGGGAAC